GACGAACGCUGGCGGCGUGCCUAAUACAUGCAAGUAGGACGCACAGUUUAUACCGUAGCUUGCUACACCAUAGACUGUGAGUUGCGAACGGGUGAGUAACGCGUAGGUAACCUGCCUAUUAGAGGGGGAUAACUAUUGGAAACGAUAGCUAAUACCGCAUAACAGUAUGUAACACAUGUUAGAUGCUUGAAAGAUGCAAUUGCAUCGCUAGUAGAUGGACCUGCGUUGUAUUAGCUAGUAGGUAGGGUAAUGGCCUACCUAGGCGACGAUACAUAGCCGACCUGAGAGGGUGAUCGGCCACACUGGGACUGAGACACGGCCCAGACUCCUACGGGAGGCAGCAGUAGGGAAUCUUCGGCAAUGGGGGGAACCCUGACCGAGCAACGCCGCGUGAGUGAAGAAGGUUUUCGGAUCGUAAAGCUCUGUUGUUAAGGAAGAACGAGUGUGAGAAUGGAAAGUUCAUACUGUGACGGUACU
rnacentral:rRNA from 1 species